CUCGUAGGCGGCUUGUCACGUCGGGUGUGAAAGCCCGGGGCUUAACCCCGGGUCUGCAUUCGAUACGGGCAGGCUAGAGUGUGGUAGGGGAGAUCGGAAUUCCUGGUGUAGCGGUGAAAUGCGCAGAUAUCAGGAGGAACACCGGUGGCGAAGGCGGAUCUCUGGGCCAUUACUGACGCUGAGGAGCGAAAGCGUGGGGAGCGAACA
rnacentral:rRNA from 1 species